AAUGUCUCAAUUUAAAAAUAAACAUUCUUUUUUGGCUAACCAGUGUAACACCUAAAAUAGCCUUGGUAACCAUAGUGUGUAAUAUUUUCCUCUUAUGCAUUAAACUAAGAAGUUUGUCAGCAAAGGGACACAUACAGUGUAGAUCACGUUUUCAUUCUCAGCCUGGAAACAGCAAUGACUUUAGAAACAGAAACCCAUUUGAACUUUGAAGAGGGCUUUUGGAGAAAAAUGAACAAGGAGGAGAGUCUUGGUGAGCUCAUAGGAACUUUCUAGGUAGAGUGAGGACAGGCACAUUUUGAUAUGGGGGAAGAAACUGCCAACUUGCUAGAUGCCUGGUACAAGUUCAUGUUCUCUAAAAUCAAAGAAUGAAUUUUAGGAACAAAGGAGGUUAGGAGCAGAAUAUAUUUAUUGAGGAAAAGAAGAACUUCUGUCUCAGAGAGAGGCAGAAGGGAUCCUGAAUGGACUGCCAAGAACUCUGCCUUUUUAAGGGUUUUUAUACAUAAAAACCAUGGCGUGAGGUGUCCAAGGUGGGGAAAAUGGGAAAUCACAAGAAAGUCAGCACUGGUGCAUAGCGAAGGCUGCCGUGUGUCCAGCAUUCUACAUUCCCACAGAAAAGCAAACAUUGCCUCAAAGGAAAUUCUUGUUUAAAAAAGCCAGCCAUUAAAGAGAAGACAUACUGUUAAAGGACAUACUGUUAAAGAACGCUUAUUACUUCCAGCACUGCAGUACUACUCAUAAAGGUCUUUCGACUCUUAAGUACUUACUUAUUUUUUGAAGCUAUUGUGGAUGAAGUUGAUUUCUGGAUUUAUUUUUUUUUUUUAUGGAUUCAUUGUUGGGCCAAAAACAUACACUGGGGAGAAGACAGCGUCUCUCACAAGUGGGUCUGGGACAACUGGUUGUCCACGUGGCUAAGGUUGAAUCUAGACUUGGGUCUUUCACCAUGUGCUAAACUGAAAUCCAAAUAACUCAAAAAGUUGGGCUUUAACACAGAAACAGCCUAUUGAAAGAAAAAAAUGAGUAAUUCUCUUGAAGACAUAGGCAGACUCCUGAGCAAAACACCACUGCACAAGCUAUGACACCAACAGUUCACACACGGGAUUCUAUAGAAUCAAAACAUUUCCAUUCAGCAAAGGAAACACCCAGCAGAGUGAACAGACAACUUGCAGAAUAGGAAAGGUAUUUUUCUAGCUGUACCUCAGACAGAGGUCUAACAUCUGGAAUAGAAAAACAAUUAAAAACAUUAGAACUUCUCAAAUAAAAGACCUAAUCAGAGAAUGAGCCCCUGACAUGGACAGGCAUCUCUCAUAGAAAUGCAAAUGGCUAGUAGGAACCCAAAGAGUGCUCACUCUCUGCCACUGCAGAAACGCAGACCCAGCUACACUGAGAUCCACUCAGGAAGCAAUGGCUGUCAUCCAGAAUGCAAGAACAACAAAUGCUGGCAAGCUUGUGGGAAAACAAAACAAAACCUUUCUUCACUGUUGCAGUGUAAACUAGUGCAAUCACUAUGGAAACCAAUAUGAAGUUCCCUCCAAAAUCUAAAAAUAGAAAUUCCCUUUGACCUAUAUACCUCCUCUGGAUAUUUUCCCAAAGAAGUUAAAAACAUCAUAUUAGGGAGAAAAAAGAUAGAAAUGUUAGACAAAUGGAGACAGAUUUUAGAGAUGGAAAAAGAUUUGGACAUAAGAGCAGAUGGAGAGAAGGGAAAGUAAAAAAGGCCAAGGUGUGAUAUGCGUCUGUACCCAUUUUCCUGAUGCAUGUAUAAGGCAUGUUUUGUGAACAUACGCUAAUAAAAAGAAAUGAUAACU